GAUGAACGCUGGCGGCGUGCCUAAUACAUGCAAGUCGAGCGAACGGACGAGACGCUUGCUUCUCUGAUGUUAGCGGCGGACGGGUGAGUAACGCGUGGAUAACCUACCUAUAAGACUGGGAUAACUUCGGGAAACCGUAGCUAAUACCGUAUAAUAUUUUGAACCGCAUGGUUCAAAAGUGAAAGACGGUCUUGCUGUCACGUAUAGAUGGAUCCGCGCUUCAUUAGCUAGUUGGUAAGGUAACGGCUUACCAAGGCAACGAUGCAUAGCCGACCUGAGAGGGGGAUCGCCCACACGGGAACUGAGACACGGUCCAGACUCCUACGGGAGGCAGCAGUAGGGAAUCUUCCGCAAUGGGCGAAAGCCUGACGGAGUAACGGCGCGUGAGUGAUGAAGGUCUUCGGAGCGUAAAACUCUGUUAUGAGGGAAGAACAUAUGUGUAAGUAACUGUGCACAUCUUGACGGUAACUAAUCAGAAAGCCACGGCUAACUACGUG
rnacentral:rRNA from 1 species